rnacentral:snoRNA from 1 species
GAUGAGGCUUCUCCUGGGGCUGUACAUCAUCGGAAACACCUCAUAGAGUAACACUGGUUUGCUCUGAUCACAGGACUAUUUCUGAGGCCCGUGAUAAGACAGCAAAAAGCAUGA